GCGAGUAUGGAUUAAAGGUAAAUUCCCUGUUUUCCACACAGGUGAUAUGGGUUCGAUUCCCAUUACUCGCU
rfam:Beta vulgaris subsp. vulgaris contig110352.1, whole genome shotgun sequence.